UACGGAGGAUCCAAGCGUUAUCCGGAUUUAUUGGGUUUAAAGGGAGCGUAGGCGGCCUGUUAAGUCAGGGGUGAAAGACGGUGGCUCAACCAUCGCAGUGCCUUUGAUACUGACAGGCUUGAAUGUAGUUGAGGUGGGCGGAAUGUGACAAGUAGCGGUGAAAUGCAUAGAUAUGUCACAGAACACCGAUCGCGAAGGCAGCUCACUAAGCUAUGAUUGACGCUGAGGCUCGAAAGCGUGGGGAGCAAACAGG
rnacentral:rRNA from 1 species